rnacentral:sRNA from 1 species
UUCGGAAAAAAUAAGUGCUCAAGUGAAGUUCUGUCGUGAAACUGAAAUUAAUUGAAGAAAAGUUGUUUCUAAUAUAAAGUGCUAAAUUUUCACAUUAGUUGUUACACACACAUACCAUGUAUAUAUAUUGUUCAACGGCAAUGCAAAUGUGUGCAGAAACAGUUGGAAAGGCAAACCUGAGGAGCUAUAACAUGGCACGAAGGCUGAAAUAAUUGCUAGUACGGGUUUCUCAAGCAUUUCUGCUCUGAACAAAGAAAAUGAAAUCAGCUCCUCGUCGUCAUCUCAGCGUGGGCACGUCAGGCAUUUUCACAUAACGGCGAAAUGGGGCCACACAAAACCAGACUUGGCGGUGCGAAAACCCAACCAAGUUUUUCAUCUUUGGCUAGAAAGUUGCACUGUAGGCAGGCUGAGGCAGAUGCCAGGCGUUUGAAUUGCUAGCCGGAGUGUGCGGAGUGUGUGUGUUGUCCUGGACUUGAGGAGUUUGGAUAGGAAGCCAGGUAUAAAACGCAGCGAAGACAGCUUGUUCUCUUGUUAUACUUGGGCGUUGAAAGUUGAUACGCGAUCGAUAGAUGUUAUAACUCGAAUGCAAUGCGUGCGAAAGGGCAUUACAACAGCUGAAAUAUGCCGUUGGUGUGGCCCCGUUAGCCGUGUGGCGAGAGUAUAUCUGAACUCAGCGACCUGUGUGUGUCGCUACCUACACACAGGGGUACUAAACAUCGUUUUUAUCAGAUUGAUUGCGUGGAUUGAAUUUAUAGGAACCUGUAUCGACUUCUCUGCUCUACUAAGACUUGUUCAAAACAAAGGCGCACAAUUACCUAUACGUUUAUAUACGGCCUUCUAUUAUUUACCUAACAUCAUCGAACCGUUAUCAAUACCGAUCCAAACAGAUAUAAACACUACUGACAUCGAUCGAUAAAGAUAUAUAUCUCGUAUCUGGAGUAGCAACUGAACGAGCCAAUCGUUAGUUCGUUUUAUGCAGCACAAUUUACAAACUAUAUUCUUGUUAUUUACUUAUUUUUUUGUUGUAAACAUAAACAUUUGCUAGUACACGACAUGUGCGACUUAAGUUCUUAAAUACCUGAAACUGUUAAACAAAAAGAAAAAAAACAAAGAAAAUAUUCUGUUUUUGUACACAACCCAAGAUUUAAGAAAAUUUGUCCAUUUAUUGUUGUAAAUAUACUUGUCCAUACCAGUUAUAGAUAAUGAAUGAAGAAUAUAAGAAAAAAAGAAUGAGCUCAUCAAUACAGAAAAGAAGCUACAAACAAAAAAGAAUAAAAGAAAUCUAAGAAGACCAAUAAAUUUCGAAACAAUUGUUCGCCAUAUUUUUAUUUUAAGCUAAAAUUCUACACAAAUUUCAGUCUUAUCAUCGUACAAAUGGAGGAAGGGCCACUCUAAAUAUCCCAUACAGGUUUAUUUACACGAAAAUUAUGCGUAUAAAAGUCUAUGAAAUUUCUAAGGUUUGAAGUUAAGGUAAACAUCGACAACAUAUAUAUAUAUAUAUAUAUAUAAAAGAGACAUUCCCUAUAAAUAUGUUAAAAUUUUUCUCUAUACGCAUUGCUUGCGAUCAUAUAAGGGAAAUAUAUGCGAAUUUGAAAAUUAUAAAUUAAGCAGGGCUUUGGUAAAUGCUAAAAUAUGCGGUAAACUGCAAAAACGGUUAAAUAUUCAAAUUUGAGACACUUCAUCAAUGGCCGUAUUAAUACAAUUUUACAGACCCAACAUUACACAAUAUUCUACAAUUUAUUCCACUUUUCUGAUUUACUUAAGAAUUUAAGUUAAGUGUCUUCAAUUUGUCUUUAAUUUUUUUUUUUUAGUUGUCUUUACUAUCAAACUAUCUUAACUAAAUAUCAAACACAGCCUGAACACAUAAAAUUUACUUCAAAUACCAAGCGGAAACUAAACAACAAGGAUUAAACACUUCCAAUCCCCAAAAGCAAUUUUUCUUCCACAACUUAUCAACAUCGGAAGUUAACUUCAAUGACAAAAGUAUCCUUUAAUGGUCAGAAUUGUCCAGCAUAAAAUGGAACAUCCCAUCCGAUUAUCUGUUUACAUUUCAACCUGGAAAUUUCCAUCAAAGAAUUAGUACAUUUUCAAACUCGUCUCAAAUUGCACCAUCUGAAACAAUGGAAACUUCGUCAGCCCAGGCAUAAAUCUACCUCAAUGCACCACAUUCAAUUCAAGCAAAUACUUCUCAAAUAUUAAUGUGCCAACCAAGUAUACAUCCACAAAAUUCGUCUGCUUCUCAACUUCUCCAUCUACAAGCAUCUCAAUAUCGUCUACUUCCCCAACUGCUCCAUCUACAAGCAACUCAAUCUUUUACUUCCUCAACUGCUCCUCCAUCUACAAGCAACUCAACACAGCUGACACCUUUAAAAUUUAUCAGACACUAUUUUAAGUUCGAUUUUCAACAAUUUCAAAAUAUUUUUUCAACGUUCUUUGUCGUUCGACAAAUUUUUACUAUUUAUAUAUAUCUGAGCCGUGAUUACAACCAAAUAUUAAAUUAAAUUUGUCAAACACAUUACGAAACGUUCUACUGACACCACGUUGUCUUAAACAUCCUUAUAAAACUGCGUCCAAUACAAAUUAUAAAUUAUUAAGCAUACGAAAAAGUGAAAACAGAAAUUUCCCUGCGAUUACAAAAAGAGCGUAAAAACACACGAAAACUGCGAAGAAUUUAAGAAAGUGGAGUGUAUGGUUAAGAGUGUGAAAACAUAGAAAUUUCCCUAAUAGGUAGGUCAUACACAAACCCCGAUUACAACCCAAAUUUAAAACAUACAAGAGCGUAAAAACACACGAAAACUGCGAUGAAUUUAAGAAAGUGGAAUGUUUAGUUAAGAGUGUGAAAACAUAGAAAUUUCCCUAAUAGGUAGGACAUACACAAACUGCGAUGAAUUUGAGAGAAUGGAGUAUUCGGUUAAGAGUGUGAGGACAUAGAAAUUUCCUUUUUAGGUAGGACAUAAACAAACCCCGAUUACAACCCAAAUUUAAAACAUACAAGAGCGUAAAAACACACGAAAACUGCGAUGAAUUUAUGAAAGUGGAGUGUUUGGUUAAGAGUGUGAAGACAUAGAAAUUUCCCUAAUAGGUAGGACAUACACAAACUGCGAAGAAUUUGAAGAAAGUGGAGUGUUUGGUUAAGAGUGUGAAAACAUAGAAAUUUCCCUAAUAGGUAGGUCAUACACAAACCCCGAUUACAACCCAAAUUUAAAACAUACAAGAGCGUUAAAACGUACACGAAAACUGCGAUGAAUUUGAGAGAAUGGAGUGUUUGGUUAAGAGUGUGAAGACAGAAAUUUCCCUAAUAGGUAGGUCAUACACAAACCCCGAUUACAACCCAAAUUUAAAACAUACAAGAGCGUUAAUUUAAGAGAAUGGAGUGUUUGGUUAAGAGUGUGAAGACAUAGAAAUUUCCCUAAUAGGUAGGUCAUACACAAACCCCGAUUACAACCCAAAUUUAAAACCUACAAGAGCGUAAAAACACACGAAAACUGCUAUGAAUUUGAAGAAAGUGGAGUGUUUGGUUAAGAGUGUGAAAACAUAUAAAUUUCCCUAAUAGGUAGGACAUACACAAACUGCGAUGAAUUUGAGAGAAUGGAGUAUUCGGUUAAGAGUGUGAGGACAUAGAAAUUUCCUUUUUAGGUAGGACAUAAACAAACCCCGAUUACAACCCAAAUUUAAAACCUACAAGAGCGUAAAAACACACGAAAACUGCUAUGAAUUUGAAGAAAGUGGAAUGUUCGAUUAAGAGUGUGAAGACAUAGAAAUUUCCCUAAUAGGUAGGUCAUACACAAACCCCGAUUACAACCCAAAUU